UCUCCAAGGAAGGGACUGUACGGAGACUUGUGAUUGAUCUUCUCUCUCAGCAUAAUGUCUGGUUCCACAGCCAGCAUCGGCUCUGCACCCUGCGCCCACUCCCAUCUGCUAGCAGAGGAAGCCUCUCUGAUCUGUGAGUGUAGCAUAAUAUCACUCUUAACUCAAUCCUUAUACCCACAAGUAUAUCUCAUCAAAUAAACUUCUCUUUGAAUCAGACGGACAUUAUUACGCAAAACUACAACUUGUCAGACUAUGGAGAUAAAGCAAUUGUUGGGUGCCCAGACCCAGUGAAUACAUCUACAACGUAACUCCAGAGGAGUAAGAAACCUGUAAGAUUGUGUCUCCUAGAAACGAAGGAAACUACCUCUAUGACGCCUCAAUAUAACUGCCUAUAAAACACUAGAACAAUGACAGCAUCAAUAGAUUCGCUGGCCCUGGAAAGAAAUCUCAGAGCUACCGGCAACUGAUGACUGCUGAGAUGGGGGAACUGGCCUCUCUCGGGGACGAACUCCCUAACUGGCUAUCUGAUACCAAGUGCUCAGCGUUCAAAACGUACAUAUUCAAGCAGCACGAUACUGAACGAAAAUUUGAGAAAAAUGCUUAUCCAAAAGUGCUGAAUUCUGUAAACAAAGAUUUCCUACCCUCACCUCUGUCACUUGGAUGUUUGGUUUCCAAUGAGUGAGCUCCUAGGAUAUGAACACAGGAGAGCUGGCCCUGCCCCUUGUCUGCUGCACAGUGCCUUGGACCAGGGAGAGACACCAUCUUCCCCUCCUUUGUCCCUCACCAUCAAUGGCAAACAGGAAAGCUGGCACUGAGAUUAAGAGAGUGGAAGAACUGACCAUGUCCCUCCCUGACUGCAGCGCUCAGGAGAGCAGGCCCUGCACCUCACCUGGACAGCGGGGUAGAACUGACCCCAUUUUUGGAGGUUGCUGGUGAGCUGACAGGCUGGCCAGCUUGGAUACCUCUCAGGCCCAGAUCCAGGGCUUUGAAUUGGCACACCACAACAUCUACCCAUCAAUGAACUGUUGGAGUGCAUGAGGGAAUUGGUUUUAUAGAUCCAAAACUAUAGGAUCUCCAUGACUCAAGGCGAGCCAAGAGGAGUCCCAGUGAGGUUCCGGUAGAGUACCAGAAGCCAGAGGCCUUGCAGCAGACCAACAAGUCAUUGAAAAUGAACAUUUGCAAGAAAAGAACUGUGGAGAAAAGAGAAUACUGUGGGACACACUAUGAAACACUACAGCCUCCACAAUGUUUUCUUUUUCUCUAUUGGGUAGGGGGAGGUUGCAAGGGUAGACGGUAGGUACAAGGGAAUGGAGGUAAGAGGGAUUCGGUGCAUGGUACUAUGAUCACAAAGAACCAUUGAAGUUUCUUUUUUAAACCUUAAAGAACAAACAAACAAAAAAGAAAUUGAUUAGUAAUCAAGAAGAAGUUUAGGGAUAGGAUAUAGCUCUGAGCCUUUUUGUUCUCUCAGCUACAGGACAAGGGAAUGCCAUGAGGCAUUUCAGUGAGCAGUAUUCACGCAAGUCAUCUCAUGGACAUAUGUGUCCACUUGUGUGAGGUGUUUAAGGGUGGUGUGCUGGGUGUUGCUGCUUCAGGUGAUGACAACAUAUCACUGUGUGAGACACUGCUAUUCUCAUGAACUGUAGAUUUUAAUGGGGUAGAGAGACAACAGAGCACACCAAAUGAACAGGUGAUCCAGUAACCAUAGACUAAAGAAUGGAGAGAGUUGGCUGUUUGAGAAACUUAGUACAUUAAAAUGGGUCUGUUAUGUGUAUAACAGAAUUAGGAACUGCAGAAGCAAGGGCCUUCUACCUACUGCUCAUUGAAGGAAGAGUAAAAAAAAAAACAAACUUGUAAA